rnacentral:lncRNA from 1 species
CAGGAUGCCAUGGUGGCUCAGGAGGGAAAGAAGAAGCCAUGCUAUGUGAUGUAUGGCACUGCAGCGAGGAGCAGGGCAGAGGUUGCAGGAAUGCUGUGUGGCUGCACACCUCAGCAAAAGGUGAGGAAGGAGUCGUGUGGAGUGACUCACACAAUUAAGGUUUGGCUUGGCUGAGUGGCAAGAUAACAACAUGAUUUUACCAUAAACAGGGCAAAUAUGAUAUUACUGUGGUAUAUGAGAUUCAAUUAAAUGACAACAUCAAUUAAACAGCUUCUAGAGCUUUUGUUUGGAAACUUGCAAGGCUUUUUUUCCUACAAAAGCUGUUCUUUGAGUAUCAACAAUUAGUUCCCCUGCAAAUGAGACUGCACAGCACAGGCUGUAACAUUCUAAGCUUCUGCUGAAAAGCUGGGUGUAAAUGAAUGGCUUGAACAGAGCAUAACCUUGGAAAUGCUUAGUGCUCAUCAGGCUGGAGGAGAGUGGACUCUGCAGGAGUCUUUGGACUCUCAUUUGCAGCACCUAUUAGUUAUGAUAGGGAUGGUUUCUUUCAGAUUUUGACCAGAAUUUUUUUCUUUGGCUGGAAAGGAAUUUCAAUUUAGUGGCAAGAGAGCAGAAAACCCUUAAGUGAACAAGCCUCCCUCCCAACAGGAUGACAUACAGACAAUUUGCAGUCUCCUUUUCAGAGAAUGCCUUGGCCCUGUGUUAUUUCAUUUGUAGUGUUUUUUUCUGAUGAGUUAAUCAAAACAUCUCAAUACCAUAGGUUUUAUUUGCUCUGAGACCACGCCCAUUUCCUGGAAAGCCUCAGCCUUCCUCCAAGACAGCAGUUGACAGCAGUUUUACCAUACACAAACACUCUCCAUAUCCCUCAAGGAAAGCACCUGUAAGCAGCAGCAAUGGCACCACUGUUCCAAGCUGGCAGCGAGCCUGCUCAGGGUAGUUUUACCUGUAGAGAUGAUAACUUUGUUUCAUCACUUUGUCCCCUCAGACCCCAGUCCCUUCACCCCUCAGUCACUUCAUCCCUCCAUCUUUCCAUUCCUACAUCCCCCCAUCCCUCUGUCGCUUCAUCCCUGCAUCCUUCCAUUCCUCAUUUCCUUCAUUCCUCAUUUCUUCCAUUUCUCAGUGUCUCCAUCUCUCCUUCUCUCCAUCCCUCCAUUCGUCUUAUCCCUUUCUCCCUUCUAUCCUUGUGUCCCAUCAUUCCUCCAUCCCUCCCGCCAUCCCUCCCUCCAUCCCCGUCCCUCAGCUGGGCGGGGCGAGCCCUCUGCAGUACUCAGCGCCCACCGCUAGGCCGCGCCAGUCCCAGGGUUGCUAUGGCGACGGCGGCGCUGCUCCCCGCGCAUGCGCGGCCAUUGCGACGGCUUCCGGUGGACCCGGGGAGGCGGCGGCGUCGCGAUGGAGCGGUUGGGGUCGGGGUCUGUGAGCGCCGUGCCUGUGGCCGAGUUCAGGCCGGAAGCGAUGAAAGUAUGUCAGUGUAA